GGGACAUAGCUCAGUGGUAGAGUGUGUGCUUGGCACGCACAAGGCCCUGGGUUCUAUCCCAAGCCCA
rnacentral:tRNA from 1 species